AAAUUUGAGUGCUCAAACCAGGCCGAUGUUGCCUGAAAAGUUUUGCAUGGAAUAAUGGAAUAGGACUUCGGUUCUAUUUCGUUGGUUUUCGGAUCCGAAGUAAUGAUCAAAAGAGACAGGCGGGGACGUUUGUAUGGUUGCGCUAGAGGUGAAAUUCAUGGACCGUAACCAGACAAACUAAAGCGAAAGCAUUCGUCAAGCAUGUUUUCAUUGGCCAUGAGCGAAAGUCAGAGGCUCGAAGACGAUCAGAUACCGUCCUAGUUCUGACCAUAAACGAUGCCAACUGACGAUCCGUGGUGGUAGUACUUCAACCAUCCCCACGGGCAGUCCCCGGGAAACCUUUAAGUCUUUGGGUUCCGGGGGAAGUAUGGUUGCAAAGCUGAA
rnacentral:rRNA from 1 species